ACGUAGGUGGGUUUGUAAGUCAGACGUGAAAGCCUUCUGUUCAACGGAAGAAUUGCAUCUGAAACUACAAACCUUGAGUGUAGGAGGGGAGAAUGGAACUUCUGGUGGAGCGGUGAAAUGCGUAGAUAUCAGAAGGAACGCCGGCGGCGAAAGCGAUUCUCUGGCCUAUUACUGACACUCAGUGUGCGAAAGCUAGGGGAGCAAACGGGAUUAGAUACCCCGGUAGUCCUAGCCGUAAACGAUGGGCACUAAGUAGAGGGGUUUUAA
rnacentral:rRNA from 1 species